GUGGGGAAUAUUGGACAAUGGGCGCAAGCCUGAUCCAGCCAUGCCGCGUGAGUGAUGAAGGCCCUAGGGUUGUAAAGCUCUUUCACCGGUGAAGAUAAUGACGGUAACCGGAGAAGAAGCCCCGGCUAACUUCGUGCCAGCAGCCGCGGUAAUACGAAGGGGGCUAGCGUUGUUCGGAAUUACUGGGCGUAAAGCGCACGUAGGCGGACAUUUAAGUCAGGGGUGAAAUCCCAGAGCUCAACUCUGGAACUGCCUUUGAUACUGGGUGUCUUGAGUAUGGAAGAGGUAAGUGGAAUUCCGAGUGUAGAGGUGAAAUUCGUAGAUAUUCGGAGGAACACCAGUGGCGAAGGCGGCUUACUGGUCCAUUACUGACGCUGAGGUGCGAAAGCGUGGGGAGCAAACAGGAUUAGAUACCCUUGUAGUCC
rnacentral:rRNA from 1 species